AUGUUCUAAACCCAGAUUCAUCGCAUUUCACAUAAACCUUUUUCACCGAAACUCUUCUCACCAAAACUUUUCGCUCAUUUCACAGUUCACUAUCGCUGUUCACCACCGACAACGAAGCUGAAGAAGUUUGAGAAGAAACCAUCGCUCAUUUAACAGUGACGAUUGAAGAAGUUUGAGAGGAAACCUUCGGUCAUUUCACAGUGACGAAAACGAAGUUGAAGUUGUUUGAUCAAAUUCCCCAACCAAAUAUCCCAAAACGAACUUCAUCGUGACGGUGGCAAUGCCAAAUUUCUUCACGUUUGUGAUGAUCAUUGAGUCGUGUGCGAAGUCGAAAGGAUUUGUAGAAGGUGAAGAAGUACAUUGUUGUGCUGCGAAGUGCUGUUUUAAGUCGAAUUCAUUUGUGGCUACUUAGUUGUUUGAUCUGUACUCGGAAAAGGGUUGUAUUGAAGAUGCUUAUAAAGUGUUUGGUGAAAUGCGUGAGAGUAAUGUUGUUGUGUGGACUGUUGUUAUAAACGCUUAUAUAUCUUAUGGUGAUGUGGUUUCUGGGAGAAGAAGUUGAAGAAAUUGAUGUUUACUGCGUGGUAUGUUUGUUCAAGAUCCUACUAGAGGUGGUCAUACUGUGGAUGAUAUUUUUUAUCAGGCUAGGCAAGUAGCUGUUGGUGCUCCUACUAAAAAUUCUUCAAGGUCAAGAAGUUUUACUGGAAUAGCCAGAUUGCUUUCCGGAGAGGCAUUUUCUUCCGCUCCUUAGCCAGUAGAAUCAAUUACACAUGUGGUCACUUUUUGGAGGAAUGGGUUUUCUGUCAAUAAUGGUCCUUUGCGGAGGUUGGAAGACCCACAAAUUGCAUCAUUUCUUGAGGUAUCUUAACUUUUUUUUUAUCAAAUUUGUUAUUAAUUUUUUAUCCAUAUUUCGUAAAUUUUAAGAUUUGUUUUCACGUCUUCUAAAUUUAUUGAAAACUAUUGCUUGGUCUCAUCAUUUUCUACUUGUGGAUGUUAUUGUUGCCAAUUUCUAAUAGGAUAUUAUGUUAAGGUCUAAUCCCAACUUUUAGGGUGAAUAGAAAAGUUAGAGAAUAAUUAAUUGGAGCUUCGUUUAAAACAAUUGUGCUGGUCUAAAAUCAAUUGGAACAGUCUCCACCCGAUCACGGAUCUUUGGUUCCACAGGGAUACGUGCCUGGAGAUAGCUACAAAGGCUUCCUGCAAAAUUUUAAAACGGUACAUAUGGUUUCAACUUUUUCUUUUGAAAAAUAGCUUCAUAGUUAAUGGUACAACAUAGUAAAUAGAUUAUAGUUUCUUGGAUUGAUUAAGAAGGCUAAACAUAUUGGAAUUUACUUACUGAUAUAUUUGUAUGCAGUAGUUGGAAAAUCGGCCACAAUGCCGUCAACUUUGGCAGCCUUAAUAUAAGUAGAAACCUCCAUAGUAGGGUCUGGCCAAUAAUCAAAUGUCAGUGCCAAGUAUUUGUUUUUGAGAGCAAAUUAAAUAUAACUUAUAUAUUGAGUUGUUAUCUUUGACAGAAUGUGGUGUGUUUUGAUAGAGAAUGAUGCCGUUAGUUUUGAACUGGAACCUAAGAAUGGACGCAUUCAAGAGGCUUCUCCCAUUUUGUGUUCAUCAAAAACCCACAAGAACAAGUUGCCAAACACCUCUCUUUCUUGGGAUUGGAGAACAAGGGAUUAAUGCGAAGGUUUGUUUUAUCCAUGUGCUGCUCAGUAAGUUCACCAUGAUCAUUUAUUUGUAUAAUCUGAUUGGAAAGUGCCAAGGGUGAUGUCGAAGUCUCAUCAUUGAGAUUUGAACCAACAUUUUAAAAGGGGAACCUUUCCACUUAUAUGGCCUGUUCUAAUCCUUUUCUAUGUCAUUCUGAUGUGAUAUAUUACUCCAGUAUAGUGGUCUAUCAAAAUAUGCUAUGAAAUAUGUCAUUUGGAUAAAAGAGAUCUCUGUUUUUUAAUGUGAAUGGUGAGCUAGCAUAGCUUGAAUUGAAGCGUAAUUAUUGUUAAGUUAGUUACCACUUCUGUUUUCCGUUAAUGAUUUAGUUAGACUUGUUUGGAACAACUAGUUUGUUUAGGAGGUUUAAAGAUAGUUACAGAGGGAUGAGAGUUAGUUGAUAUUAUGAUAAUAAGAAGGUGUUGAGAAUAAGAAGCCUAAUUGGAAGAUUGUCAUGGUAAUUGCUUGAUAUUGUUGAUAUUAUGAGAAUGAAUUCUUAGUGAUUCUAGCUUUUAGCUAUAUGGCUUGAGUAAGGGGAUUACAUAAAAUAUGCUAACAAUGCUUAAAGUUUUAAAUAUGCUUUGUACCUUAUAUGUAGGCACAUAGCAUAGCUUGAAUCGAAGCGUAAUUAUUGUUAAGUUAGUUACCACUUCUGUUUUCAGUUAAUGAUUUAGUUAGACUUGUUUGGAACAACUAGUUUGUUUAGGAGGUUUAAAGAUAGUUACAGAGGGAUGGGAGUUAGUUGAUAUUAUGAUAAUAAGAAGGUGUUGAGAAUAAGAAGCCUAAUUGGAAGAUU